rnacentral:rRNA from 1 species
AGUGGCGCACGGGUGCGUAACACGUAACUAAUCUACCUACAACUGGGGGAUAGCCCGCCGAAAGGCGGAUUAAUACCGCAUAAUAUCAGGUGGCGGCAUCGUCUCUUGGUUAAAGAUUUAUUGGUUGUAGAUGAGGUUGCGGGUCAUUAGCUAGUUGGUAAGGUAACGGCUUACCAAGGCGACGAUGACUAGGGGAGCUGAGAGGCUGGUCCCCCACACGGGCACUGAGAUACGGGCCCGACUCCUACGGGAGGCAGCAGUAGGGAAUAUUGGGCAAUGGGCGAGAGCCUGACCCAGCCAUGCCGCGUGCAGGAAGAAGGCUUUCUGAGUCGUAAACUGCUUUUGACAGGGAAGAAUAAGCUGCUCGUGAGCAGUGAUGACGGUACCUGCAGAAUAAGCACCGGCUAACUCCGUGCCAGCAGCCGCGGUAAUACGGAGGGUGCGAGCGUUGUCCGGAUUUAUUGGGUUUAAAGGGUGCGUAGGCGGCCCCGUAAGUCCGAGGUGAAAGCCCGUUGCUCAACAACGGAACUGCCUUGGAUACUGCGGGGCUUGAGUACAGACGAGGUUGGCGGAAUGGACCGAGUAGCGGUGAAAUGCAUAGAUACGGUCCAGAACCCCGAUUGCGAAGGCAGCUGACUAGGCUGUUACUGACGCUGAGGCACGACAGCGUGGGGAGCGAACAGGAUUAGAUACCCUGGUAGUCCACGCCGUAAACGAUGGAUACUCGCUGCGAGCUAAAGAUUGUUCGUGGCUUAGGGAAACCGAUAAGUAUCCCACCUGGGGAGUACGCCGGCAACGGU